AACGCGAAGAACCUUACCUGGGUUUGACAUGCAAUUGACAGCGUCAGAGAUGACGUCUUCUCGAAAGAGACAGUUGCACAGGUGCUGCAUGGCUGUCGUCAGCUCGUGCCGUGAGGUGUUGGGUUAAGUCCCGCAACGAGCGCAACCCUUGUCACUAGUUGCCAGCGCGUAAUGGCGGGCACUCUAGUGAGACUGCCCGGGUUAACCGGGAGGAAGGUGAGGAUGACGUCAAGUCCGCAUGGCCUUUAUGCCCAGGGCUACACACGUGCUGCAAUGGUCGGUACAGAAGGCAGCGAGACCGUAAGGUGGAGCAAAUCCGAAAAGCCGACCCCAGUUCAGAUUGUAGUCUGCAACUCGACUACAUGAAGAUGGAAUUGCUAGUAAUGGCGAGUCAGCAACAUUGCCGUGAAUACGUUCCCGGGCCUUGUACACACCGCGAGC
rnacentral:rRNA from 1 species